UACAGGGGGUGCAAACGUUGCUCGGAAUUACUGGGCGUAAAGGGCGCGUAGGCGGCUUACCAAGUCAGGCGUGAAAUUCCCGGGCUCAACCUGGGGGCUGCGCUUGAUACUGGUGAGCUUGAAUGCGGGAGAGGAUAGUGGAAUUCCCAGUGUAGAGGUGAAAUUCGUAGAUAUUGGGAAGAACACCGGUGGCGAAGGCGGCUAUCUGGCCCGUAAUUGACGCUGAGGCGCGAAAGCGUGGGGAGCAAACAGG
rnacentral:rRNA from 1 species